rnacentral:misc_RNA from 1 species
GAUGAAGAACGCAGCGAAGUGCGAUAUGUAAUGUGAAUUGCAGAAUUCCGUGAAUCAUCGAAUCUUUGAACGCAAAUUGCACUCUUUGGUAUUCCGAAGAGUAUGCCUGUUUGAGGGUCAGUCAAAUAAAAAUCGGGGUUGUUGCUGCUGCCUUCGGUGGUGACGCUUCGGAACUGGGUCGUCUUUUCUUUCGGUUAAGUGACCUAAAAUUUCGGAUGAUUUUUCGAACGUAUUUAAUUUUUUUUACGUACGUUUGUAUAUCAAAUAUUAGAUGUGAUUAUUUUCAUGAUUCGCGUCUAUAAUUUUUCAUCAAAUGACCUCAAAUCAGGUAAGACUACCCGCUGAACUUAAGCAUAUCAAUAGCGGAGGA